rnacentral:rRNA from 1 species
UUGAGCGGAGAUAUAUGGAGCUUGCUUUAUAUAACUUAGCAGCGAACGGGUGAGUAACACGUAGAUAAUCUAUCCUAUACUGGGGGAUAGCCCGAUGAAAGUUGGAUUAAUACCGCAUAUAGCUAUAUAGUUGCAUGAUUAUGUAGUGAAAGAUUUAUUGGUAUAGGAGGAGUCUGCGGCACAUUAGCUAGUAGGUGAGGUAAAGGCUUACCUAGGCGACGAUGUGUAGCCGGUCUGAGAGGAUGAACGGCCACAAUGGAACUGAGACACGGUCCAUACUCCUACGGGAGGCAGCAGUGGGGAAUAUUGCACAAUGGGGGAAACCCUGAUGCAGCAACGCCGCGUGAGUGAAGAAGGUUUUCGGAUUGUAAAGCUCUGUUAGCAGGGAAGAGGAAGGACGGUACCUGCAGAGGAAGCCACGGCUAACUACGUGCCAGCAGCCGCGGUAAUACGUAGGUGGCAAGCGUUGUUCGGAAUAACUGGGCGUAAAGGAUGCGUAGGCGGUUAAACAAGUUAUAUGUUAAAUAUAUAGGCUUAACCUGUAGAAAGCAUAUAAAACUGUUUAACUAGAGUGCAGGAGAGGUAAGUGGAAUUCCUAGUGUAGCGGUGAAAUGCGUAGAGAUUAGGAAGAACACCAGUGGCGAAGGCGACUUACUGGACUGUAACUGACGCUGAGGCAUGAGAGCAUGGGGAGCAAACAGGAUUAGAUACCCUGGUAGUCCAUGCUGUAAACGAUGGGUACUAGGUGUGGGUUGUGAAUAACAAUUCGUGCCGUCGCAAACGCAAUAAGUACCCCGCC